rnacentral:tRNA from 1 species
GCGGGCGUGGCGGAAUGGUAGACGCAUGGGACUUAAAAUCCCUCGGGCGAAAGCCCAUGCCGGUUCGAGUCCGGCCGCCCGCACCA